rnacentral:rRNA from 1 species
GGCUCAGCGCGAACGUUGGCGGCGUGCCUAACACAUGCAAGUCGUGGGGCAGCAGGCCUUCCUUUUUGGGAAGGUGCUGGCGACCGGCGAACGGGUGAGUAACGCGUAGCUAACCUACCCUAAGGAUGGGGAUAACCCCCCGAAAGGGGGGCUAAUACCCAAUAAAGAGGCUUAUUGAAUGAUGAGCCUCCAAAGGCCGCAAGGCGCCUUAGGAUGGGGCUGCGUCCCAUCAGCUAGUUGGUGAGGUAAAAGCUCACCAAGGCUACGACGGGUAGCUGGUCUGAGAGGAUGGCCAGCCACAGUGGGACUGAGACACGGCCCGCACCCCUACGGGGGGCAGCAGUGGGGAAUAUUGGGCAAUGGCCGAAAGGCUGACCCAGCAACGCCGCGUGGUGGAAGAAGCCCUUCGGGGUGUAAACACCUGUCAGUGGGGAAGAUAAUGACGGUACCCACAGAGGAAGGGACGGCUAACUACGUGCCAGCAGCCGCGGUAAUACGUAGGUCCCGAACGUUGCGCGAAUUUACUGGGCGUAAAGGGUCCGUAGGCGGUCUGGUAAGUGGAAGGUGAAAUCCUGGGGCUCAACUCCAGAAUUGCCUUCCAAACUGCUAGACUUGAGGCAGGGAGAGGUCGGCGGAAUUCCCGGUGUAGCGGUGAAAUGCGUAGAUAUCGGGAGGAACACCAGUGGCGAAGGCGGCCGACUGGAACUGUCCUGACGCUGAGGGACGAAAGCCAGGGGAGCGAACCGGAUUAGAUACCCGGGUAGUCCUGGCCGUAAACGAUGGAUGCUAGAUGUGGGCAGGGAAACCUGUCCGUGUCGCAAGCUAACGCGUUAAGCAUCCCGCCUGGGGAGUACGACCGCAAGGUUGAAACUCAAAGGAAUUGACGGGGACCCGCACAACCGGUGGAGCGUCUGGUUUAAUUCGAUGCUAACCGAAAAACCUCACCAGGGCUUGACAUGCGGUGUGUCGUGGCCGAAAGGUCACUAGGGUACCCUUAUGGGUACCCGCGCCGCACAGGUGGUGCAUGGUCGUCGUCAGCUCGUGUCGUGAGAUGUUGGGUUAAGUCCCGCAACGAGCGCAACCCUUGCCCUGUGUUACCAGCGGGUAAAGCCGGGUACUCACAGGGGACUGCCGGCGAUAAGCCGGAGGAAGGAGGGGAUGACGUCAGAUCAGUAUGCCCUUUAUGCCCUGGGCUACACAGGCGCUACAAUGGCAGGGACAAAGGGAAGCGAAGCCGCAAGGUGGAGCAAACCCCAAAAACCCUGUCGUAGUGCGGAUUGGGGGUUGCAACUCACCCCCAUGAAGGCGGAAUCGGUAGUAAUGGCGAAUCAGCAAUGUCGCCGUGAAUACGUUCUCGGGUCUUGUACACACCGCCCGUCACGCCACGGGAGUUGGGUCCAUCGGAAGUCCCCGGGCCAACCCGCAAGGGAGGCAGGGGCCGAUGAUGGGCCUGGCGACUGGGGCGAAGUCGUAAAAAGGUAACC